rnacentral:rRNA from 1 species
AUUGAACGCUGGCGGCAGGCCUAACACAUGCAAGUCGAACGAGUGGCGGACGGGUGAGUAAUGUCUGGAAACUGGCCGAAGGGGGGGGAUAACUAACGGAAACGGUUACCAAUACCGCAUACCAUCAGAUGUGCCCCGAUGGGAUUAGCUAGUUGGUGGGGGAACGGCUCACCAAGGCGACGAUCCCUAGCUGGUCCGGGAGGAUGACCAGCCACACUGGAACUGAGACACGGUCCAGACUCCUACGGGAGGCAGCAGUGGGGAAUAUUGCACAAUGGGCGCAAGCCUGAUGCAGCCAUGCCGCGUGUAUGAAGAAGGCCUUCGGGUUGUAAAGUACUUUCAGCGGGGAGGCGUUACCCGCAGAAGAAGCACCGGCUAACUCCGUGCCAGCCGCCGCGGUAAUAC